rnacentral:rRNA from 1 species
GCGUAACGCGUGAGCAACAUGCCCGUAUCAGGGGGAUAAUCCAGGGAAACUUGGUCUAAUACCCCAUAGUAAUCUUAGGAGGCAUNUUUUAAGAUUUAAAGCUUUGGUGGAUACGGAUUGGCUCGCGUGACAUUAGCUAGAUGGUAGGGUAACGGCCUACCAUGGCUACGAUGUUCUAGGGGUUCUGAGAGGAAGAUCCCCCACACUGGAACUGAAGACACGGUUCCAGACUCCUACGGGAGGCAGCAGUNGAGGAAUAUUGGACAAUGGAUGGAAAUCUGAUCCAGCCAUGCCGCGUUGCANGGAAGACUGCCCUAUGGGUUGUAAACUGCUUUUUGUAUGGGAGCAAUAAGCCCUUNNNUUGAAGGGUGAUGAGAGGUUCCAUUACCGAAAUAAGCCAUCGGCUAACUUC